GCCGGACAACAGGAGCAAGAAAGAGCAGGAGCUGUCCAGCGCUGAGAAACACGAAAGGUGACCAUGGCUAAGGAGUGGGGCUACGCCAGCCACAAUGGUGAGUGGGGCCAGGACACAACAGGGUGUAUCUGCAUUGCACAGGUGUGCAGGGAGGAAUCCUUAAGAACUAGCAUAUAGUGAAAACUUUCUGGUGUUCCAUGCUGCUGGUCUUUAACACGACUCACUGUUUUCCUUUCCACGGAGGAACCUGAAGCUCAGAGACAUACUCACUAUAACUAGCUUAAGGUCCGAUGAUGUGUCUGAGAAGUCACUCAGCCAGAAGUCAGGUCCAGUUGAAUUUUUUCUGUGAAACUGAGAAGUGAGCCUCUUUGAGCUUGGGGUCCGGUAACAAUAUUUGCUUUGACCAAGUCAGCCUUGGGAAAAAGAAGAAAAUAUCCCUUCCAAGCUGCAAAGUACUCCAAAAAAUAUAUGAUCGAUCUGUGGUUCAUUUCAAAGAUAAGCUUUUCUGGCUACAUGGUUCUCAAGCCAGGGGAGGGAAUGUGGAGAUUGGAACGCUCUUUGAGCAUAGGUAAGCAAGCUUCUAAAUAGGUUUGAAAUCAAAGUGCUGUGUUGCUCAAUCUGAACCAGAGACCUUUCUGCAGUCACUCUUUGGCUUCUGUACACUUUGCUGGCACAGUUCACUAAAUAGAGGCCUUGAGCUGUACUAUUAAAUGAAUAAAUUCUCUUCCAUUUACUUCCUAGGUCCUGAUCACUGGCAUGAACUUUAUCCAAUUGCCAAAGGGGACAACCAGUCACCCAUUGAACUGCAUACUAAAGACAUCAAGCAUGACCCCUCUCUGCAGCCCUGGUCAGCAUCUUAUGACCCUGGCUCUGCUAAGACCAUCCUGAACAAUGGGAAGACCUGCAGAGUUGUGUUUGAUGAUACUUAUGACAGGUCUAGUAAGUAUAGCCCUUCGGCAGGGUCACGUGAGUGUGUUCAGUAUCUAAUGGCAAGACGCAAUUUGUGACACGGUAACAGAAUUAUGGGAAGCGGGAGAAGUUUAUCCCUGAAAUGGAGAUGACUUUAGACUUGGCUUUAGUUGUGGAGAACUAUAUUCACACAAUGAAGAGGAAUGUCACACCCUCUCGUUGCUGCAAAAUGGCCAUAUGCCCAAGCUAAAAGUUAGCAAAACACUCCAGAGACAGAGUGUGGAUCCCCAGGGGAGGACAGAGAGUCCACAUGGGCUUUCUGACCACCGAGAGACAACGUUUUUAUGGUUCCUGGUGAUAUGGAGAACAGAUUCAACCAUGAUGAAAGAAAUAAAAUGGGUCCUCUCUUUCCUCGCGGAUGGAAGGAGGCUAAUUAAUGUGAAAAGGCAGGGUCACUGUGUGAGUUAAAGAGGCCUGGUUUCAGGAAGUAUCUUUGUGGUGAGUGUUUCUGAUGUAUAUGACCACUUUUUCUUGGAUCAAUGUUAGUGUGGAAUUGAAGCAUUCAUGGGAGGUUUUAUUUUUUUAACCUACAUUAGUAACUGAUCUGUGAAAUAAAAUAAGAUGAAUUUGAAAUACUUUGAAUAUUUGAAUACUAAUUUCAGGUAAUUUGAAAUUUCAGAAAGGCUUGGUGGCUCAUACCUGCAAUCCCAAUACUCAAGAGGCAGGGGUAAGAGGACUGCCAUAAAUAUGCAGCGACCUUUGAGUUUCUAAUGUGUUCCAAGCCAGCUUGGGCUAUAGAGUGAAACUCUGUCUCC
rnacentral:lncRNA from 1 species